GGCCCAGUAGCAUAGUGGUUAUGCAUCUGCUCUGUUUAUAGAAGAACAUUUGGCAAUUCUGCAGACAAUGUGGGUUCGAAUCCCGCUUGGGCCC